rnacentral:rRNA from 1 species
UACAGAGGUCUCAAGCGUUGUUCGGAUUCAUUGGGCGUAAAGGGUGUGUAGGUGGCGCCGUAAGUCGGGUGUGAAAUCUCGGAGCUUAACUCCGAAACUGCAUUCGAUACUGCCGUGCUAGAGGAUUGGAGAGGUAGCUGGAAUUCUUGGUGUAGCAGUGAAAUGCGUAGAGAUCAAGAGGAACACUCGUGGCGAAAGCGAGCUACUGGACAAUUCCUGACGCUGAGGCUCGAAGGCUAGGGUAGCGAAAGGG